rnacentral:lncRNA from 1 species
ACUCCACUCUCGACUCCCUGUCUAUCUUUUCUCUCAAUAGGUAAGAACUAAAAAAUUCCAUCUAAACCUUUGGAGCUCUCUCUGCUCCCUCUCUUUCUCCCAACACACUCACACAAAACAUCAAAAAAGGGGAGGGGCAGCCACCGAUUGGACAGAAAAGCUUGAAAUCUUCUCAAAACUUUAGUCAAGGAACUACAACCCUCAUUAAGGUUUUUUUUUUGCCUUUUUUCGGCUUUUUUUUCUUAAUUAAUUAGAUUAAAUGCAUGUUUUGCUACCUAUUUGUCUCUUUCUUUCACUGAUGUUGUUGUUAUGUGGUGUUGUUGAAGUUUUUGGGAUAAGCCAUGCACAAAAUUAAGAAAAAAGAAACGGGCCUAUGAAUGCAUGUCAAGUGUUUGUGAAAAUGCCAAAAUAAAAAUAAAUCAAAUUAGUGAAUCUUUUGUGCUUAUUUUUUGUCAACAAUAGAUGACCUAAAGCUAGUAAAGGUCUGAAAAUGUUUGGUUAUCUAAAAUUUUUGGAGUUUUGAGCUUUAAAGGCAUUGAAUUAUUUUUCUUCAUUUAGGGGCUGUUUUGCUUUAUUUUAGCCCUUUUAUGUUGUUUUCUUGUCAAAUUAAAAUCGUAGUUGUAUUGUAGAAGUUGCAAGGAGUGUUAUAGUAUAAUUUUAUGAUUUUUGGUGAAAGAUAUGGUGAUUUGAAAAAAUAAAAACUGGACUGACUUUUGCUAUUUUGUCCACUUUCAGGUCAUUUUUUGUAAAAACUAAUUUGAAAAAUGGAUUCUACGCGAAAAAUCGAGUGAGGGGUUGAAUUUUGGUAAUUUUUCAUAACCGGAGAGGUCGCCGGCGAACGGCGGGGGCGACGGUCCACUGGUGGCGGCGGUGCCGGCGGCUGCCAUGGCCACUAGUUGAAGAAGCUUCAGCUGGUCAGGGAAGAAGAAGAAGAAAUGGAAGGGGAAGAAGAAGAAAGAAAAGAAAAGAAAGAAAGAAAAGAAAAAGAAGAAAAAGAAUUGGGCUGAUGUUUGUUUUUGUUUUUUUGGUGAGCUUGUGUUUAUUUUUUGUUGCGUUUUGAGAAUGGGUUUUGAUUUAUUUCUUUUGGGCUUCAAUUGGGUUAGAAGGUCAGAGCCCGUGCAUUUUUUUCGGGCUUUAGUGAUAAAAGGAUAGGCUAGACUGCUUUUUCUUUUGAGUUUCAGUUGGGCUUAGGUAGUAUCUGACCCAAGCAAAAAAUAAAAGAAAGGCCUGACGGCCUUUUUUCUUGCCCAAAUCAGAAACCAAAGCUUUCACUUUAGCUCCUGAUCUUUGAAGUAGUUUUAGUGUGGCUCAGAACAUUUUAAAUUUCUUUCACUUUGGUCCUUAAAAUAAUUGCACUUUGACCCCCUAAACUUUUAUCAUUUAUUUAAUUUUGACCCUUAAACUUUGGAAAAUUUAUAUUUUUG